GGGACCUCUCUGAUUGGCCGUGGUCCAGUUGAAAGUGCAGGUGGAAGAGAGAGCCUCCUCCACCAUGGGUAAGACCACAGAGCUGUCAAAGGACGUCGGGGACAAAAUUGUGGAGCUGCACCAGGCUGGAAGAAGCCUGGUGAGAAGCUGACAGCUGCUGGUACGAUUAGUCAGAAAUGGAAGAAAUAUAAAAUGACCAUCAGCCUUCCUCAGUCUGGAGCUUGAUGCAAGAGCUGCCUCACAGGUUAAGGAUAAUCACGAGAAAGGUGGUGAAUCGGCCCAACACUACACGUGAGGAGCUUCUUAAUGAUCCGAAGGCAGCUUGGACCACAGUGCACCGUGAGUGAUUGAAAUCUUGAAGCGCCUGAAAGGUCGCCCUGCUCAAGAAGCCACAUGUACAGGGUAGAAAGUGCUUUGGUCAGAUGAAACCAAGAUUGAGGUCUUUGGCAUAAACUUGACCCGCCAUCUUCAGAGGAAGAAAAACGCUGAGAAUGACAUAAAGAAGGCCUACCCCACAGUCAAGCACAGAGGUGAAAAUUAUGCUUUGGGGCUGGUAUGGAUACAGGACAACUUCACCGUAUUGAGGGGCCAAUCGAUGGGGCCAUGUACUAUAAAGUCUUGGAUGAGAACCUCCUUCCCUCCCUCUGCUCUCCUUUCUUCCAUCCUGAAGAUGGAUCAUUGAUUGGUCUUCCAACAUGACGAUAACCCAAAACAUACAGCCAAAGCAACAAAGGAGAAGAACAUUAAGGUCAGUGCACAGCCUCCAGACAUCAGUCCUAUAGAAAAUCUGUGAAGGGAGCUGAAUCUUCGAGUUGCCAAGACUCACCCAAGAAAACUAAAGGGACAAAAACUCUCCCGAGAUGUGAGAAAAUCUUGUGAAAAAUUAUAAGAAUCAUCGUAUUCCUGUGCUUACCAACGAGGGUUUCUCCAUCAAGCGCCAAGUCAUCUUUUGGAUCAAAGAUUUAUUUCACUCAGUGGUGUGUAAAUCAAUGUAAAACUUUUAUGUGAUGUGUAUUUUCUGGAUUUUUGAUUGAUAUUUGGUCUCUUUCCAUUAAAAUGAACCUACCAAAAAAAAUACAGAUUGUUCAUUUUUCUAUCAGAGUGUCAAAUAUUUGUUUCCCCCACUGUACAUCAUUUCACUUCCUGCUUGUACUGUGAUAACAGUUUGACAUUCAAAAGAAGUAUUGCAGGAAAUAUGUUUUUUAUGGAUUUAAUGGCUUUAUUGUUGUUGAUAGAAGUUGCCAUAUUUAGUGCACAAAGCAAAUACUCUGAACAUUAUGUGUGGAACGUUUGUCUGUCCUUGCCUGACUGAUGAUACAGUCAACUUUAAAACUGUAUAUAUG
ensembl:lncRNA